rnacentral:rRNA from 1 species
GAUGAACGCUGGCGGCGUGCCUAAUACAUGCAAGUCGAGCGAAUGGAUUAAGAGCUUGCUCUUAUGAAGUUAGCGGCGGACGGGUGAGUAGCACGUGGGUAACCUGCCCAUAAGACUGGGAUAACUCCGGGAAACCGGGGCUAAUACCGGAUAACAUUUUGAACCGCAUGGUUCGAAAUUGAAAGGCGGCUUCGGCUGUCACUUAUGGAUGGACCCGCGUCGCAUUAGCUAGUUGGUGGGGUAACGGCUCACCAAGGCAACGAUGCGUAGCCGACCUGAGAGGGUGAUCGGCCACACUGGGACUGAGACACGGCCCGGACUCCUACGGGAGGCAGCAGUAGGGAAUCUUCCGCAAUGGACGAAAGUCUGACGGAGCAACGCCGCGUGAGUGAUGAAGGCUUUCGGGUCGUAAAACUCUGUUGUUAGGGAAGAACAAGUGCUAGUUGAAUAAGCUGACACCUUGACGGUACCUAACCAGAAAGCCACGGCUAACUACGUGCCAGCCGCCGCAGUAA